GAUCGCUUAGCUCAGCCGGUAGAGCAACUGACUUUUAAUCAGUAGGUCCGGGGUUCGAAUCCCCGAGCGAUCACCA
rnacentral:tRNA from 1 species